rnacentral:rRNA from 1 species
UACAUAGGGACCAAGCGUUGUUCGGAUUUACUGGGCGUAAAGGGCGCGUAGGCGGCAUAUUAAGUCAGCUGUGAAAUCUCCGAGCUUAACUCGGAACUGUCAGCUGAUACUGAUGUGCUAGAGUGCAGAAGGGGCAAUCGGAAUUCUUGGUGUAGCGGUGAAAUGCGUAGAUAUCAAGAGGAACACCUGAGGUGAAGACGGGUUGCUGGGCUGACACUGACGCUGAUAGCGCGAAAGCCAGGGGAGCAAACGGG